rnacentral:rRNA from 1 species
UGAUGGAGGGGGAUAACUACUGGAAACGGUGGCUAAUACCGCAUAACGUCGCAAGACCAAAGAGGGGGACCUUCGGGCCUCUUGCCAUCAGAUGUGCCCAGAUGGGAUUAGCUUGUUGGUGAGGUAACGGCUCACCAAGGCGACGAUCCCUAGCUGGUCUGAGAGGAUGACCAGCCACACUGGAACUGAGACACGGUCCAGACUCCUUCGGGAGGCAGCAGUGGGGAAUAUUGCACAAUGG